AGGUGCUAAUUAUCUUGAUUCACAUUUUUUUAAUAAUAAAGCUUUUCAUCUUUCGAUCUAACGAUGAAAUUCAAUAUUCUGAUAUAUUCAAAACCUUUGCAAUUAAGAGUUCCAUACUUCAUUGUCAUGACUUUCAAUGAAUUCAGAUCGGGUCGGAUCGGUUCAUUGGGCUAAAUAACGUCUCAAAAGCCCAAAUCCCAAAGGUUAUUGGAAAACUCAUUUCUGGCGCGAAACCAUCUCUCAGAUCUGUCUUAUUAUUCAUAAACGAAAUUGAAAAAAUGCAACCAAAUCUUCAGACCCAAUUAUUCUACACAAAAAGAAGCACUAGAUCUAUCUCCAUUACUCGUCAAUUUUGAUAAUUAUUUUGAAAAAUUCCCAAAAGGGCCAGAAAUCGCCGUCACAUACAAGCGCAGAACUCCAUGCUUGGACAGAGUUUGGGCAAUGAAAGGAUUAUUGAUGUGCCCUAGCUUGAAAAGAUGCACAUUAUUUUGGUGCAAGGAGAUGAUCCUCAUGCUCAGCAAAACAAGAUUCAGGAGUUUUCAAGAUGAUGGAUAUGGAGCUUGAAGAUGGAUGGAUACUUCUUAAGAAUAUUUUUGUUGUGUUUGUAAGAUUUUGUAUGUGUAUGUUUGUGUGUCUCUUAUGGAUCCUAAGUAGCAUACUGGAUUCAAGCAAUGGUUUAUUUCAAGAAAAUUAAAUUGUGUUGAUAAUUGGAAAUGGUAAAAUGAAGCUUUAGUUACUGGUAAGAGUUCGAACUGCAUUUAAUGAACGUAUACAUUCUAAAGUUUUACACAUACGGAAACUGGUCUCAUGGUAUAGACAGUACAAAAAUUCAUCAA